AAUGCGUUAUACGGUUUUUAAUUAAAACAACUAUAUUGUGUAGAACAUUACGAUUGCUAUUGUAAAAAAAAAAAAAAUUUUAAAAAAGAAAAAAAAAAACCCCGUAUCGUCAGUUCGUUUUGAAUAUACAAUGCCGGGGAUAGGGUACAGUGUUUAAGUGUGCCUACGCAAUUUAUCCGUUGCACAAAGGUUCGACAUACAACGUGAUAAAGUAGUGCUUAUCUAUUAUACC